GUGAAAAGAGCACAGCUUUUAGCACCAUAGUUUAUUUCCUUUGAAAUUUCAGCACCAUCCUGGCACUUACCUCACGCUCUUUUGGCUUUCAAAACUCUCUGAUGCAUUCAAGCAUGUAGUUAUUUAUAAAUAUAUAUAUGUGUAUAUAAAAGUGCUGACGUACAGUGCUGUCUACAUUAAUGAAAGCAGAGAACAUGAUUUAUAUUUUGUUGAGUAAACUCUAGUACUUUUGGAUAAAGAAGACUUUAGCAGGUACAAACGGCAGGCCAAAUCCUAAAGCUGUUUACUAGCCAUUAAUUCCAGGCUCAAUCCAGAAGCUCUUACUCAAGCAAAAUGCCUGCAAAGUAAUCGGAUGCUUUAUCUUCUUAUUCUUGAAUUUUGGAAGAGUGCUGUGUAAUUUUUUUUAAAUUGUGCAGGUUUCUAUCAGCCCUAUGUCAUCUCAUUCCUCAGGAGUGACUACUUGUGCAGUGUUGUAUUAUAUGGUAAAUCACCUGCAGCUGCAAUGUAUCACAGUAUGCUGCAGACAGUGUUUUUACAUUUUUACUUUAAUCAUUUGCAAUGAGUAACAGAUACUGUAAGUGGCAAAAUACUUUGUCUUGAAAAGUAGCCAUUGAAAUACUGCUACAAAAGUAACCAUAGAGUUUGGAAAAUGAUAUGGUACAAAAUAACCUAUUUUGUUACAUACAGUUUUAUUCAUUUCUGAAAAUGAUUGUUCUUUUGCAGGCAUGGAGAUCUGGAUAUCUUUCUAAUGUAAAAUUAAUAGGAAAUACUUCAAUUGUUCAAAUAGCUCUUAAAUGUAUUUUAGUUUUAUAACUGAUUGCAUAUUAUGUUUGCAGCCUUUGUGCAAAGCAGUGUUCAAUAGCAGAGUUUGCUCCAUAAUGAACACAGAUGAAGGCUGCUCUUUAUAGUAUCAAUCUAAAAAUCCAUGUGUAUUAAUAUAAUGCUGUUGAUGUUAAGUUGUCCUGUUGCUUGGAAUUGAUUGCCACAUUGCUUGGCACAUAGCUGUCAACUAAGAGAACUCCUUGCAACUCCAACUUAAGACUUAACACUUCCCAUUUAGAAAAUGACCUUACAAUUUAGUCAAAUGACUAGACUGCUGUGGAACAGCAGCUGUUGGUGGAAAGUUCUCAAAAUUGGCAUGGAUCACACACUGGUCUCUCUUUAAUUGCUGAUAUCGUUGCCUGUGAAUGCAGUGGUUGUCAAUGACUGUAAUUGCUUUAUAGUUCUCAGACCAUUCCCUAAUGGUUAGCAUUGACUUUUAGCUUUUAAGCUGAAAAUAUCUGAGGAUUAAUCUAUUGGUUUGUUUUGUGCAUUUUCUAGCAACUUUGUGUAAAUUGCUAAUUAUUAAUAACACCCUUGAGGCAUGAAAAUAAAUACUGUAACAUUCUCAUGAUGAAAUAUAUUUUCUUUUGAAAUCUCUGGGACCAUAUUUGGUGCAGUUGAUUUACAUAACUUGCCUGCAUAGUAUUGUGAAAGAGUAAAAUAAAACAGCUCAGCUGCACCUGCUGUCUUCGAGAUGUUUCUGAGUGCAGUCCCAGACAAGCAUGGGAUUUUUUUGUCAUCUCUUUGGCCCAUUGCCCACCUGCCCUGGACCACUGCAAAAUACAGUGCCUGAUCUCAUAAUUUUACCAUAAGGUAAAAUGACAAGUUCUCAGCAUGAUCUGCUACUUAAGUCUGGUUUUGUUAACAGUUCUAUGUUUGUCACUAAAGAAAUUAAAUCUGUCUGGAAGAUUGUCUACAGAGAGAUGACCAAAAUGUGGAAAAGAGGUGAGACUCCUCCUAGAGAUCUGCUGUUGCAUUUUUCAUGAGGAAUUCACAGAGGGGAGGCUGAUACUCUAGGGAUGAGCUUCUUCCCUCUGCUUGGUGCUCUAAGCAGCACAGUUCAGUAUUACAAGUACAAAGUAGAUGUGCAAAGGAAGCUGAAGGCAAGGGUGGAGAGAUGGCAUGUCCCUGUACUUUCAGUUUGCCAUUUGCAAUUUCUGUUUCCUUAGUGGACCUCUCUGGAGGCAAGCUGACAGGAAGCUCACUAAGCAAAAACAUCUAUGAAUUUGGGAGCUGGAGCCUUGGACAUUCUACCACAUUCCCAUGGACUUCUUCAAAAUGACAUAAUUUAGAAAAGAUUCUGCACUUACUAUUUCUCUUGAUUAAAUUAAGAAUUGAAAAAUGUAUGUAUUUUUUUUUAAUUUCUGUGGGAAUUUUUAUGUCCACUCCAGGUCUUGAAUAUCUUGCAGUUUAAAUAAGCAUCUAAAUGUUUUGUUUGAAAUAAAAAUAUGC